UACGUAGGGGCAAGCGUUGUCCGGAAUCAUUGGGCGUAAAGCGCGUGUAGGCGGCUGAGUAAGUCUGCUCUGAAAGCCCGGGGCUCAACCCCGGGAGGCGGAUGGAUACUGUUUGGCUCGAGUCCGGAAGAGGCGAGUGGAAUUCCCGGUGUAGCGGUGAAAUGCGCAGAUAUCGGGAGGAACACCAAUGGCGAAGGCAGCUCGCUGGGACGGUACUGACGCUGAGACGCGAAAGCGUGGGGAGCAAACAGG
rnacentral:rRNA from 1 species